UGUUACAUGAUGAUAAUUUAUUUCUCAGCUCACUCAGAAUCUAUAUGAUCGAUAAAUAUUUUCCUAUCCAACAUUCAUCAAGAUAUUAUCUGACUUUUCC